GGAGUCUAGCAUGUGACCGAGUUUUUCGGCGUAAAACCCGAAGAGCGUAGUGAAAGCGACUGCCGCAUCGUCGUUAACGCGUCGAUGUGUCUCUUUUGUUUUGCACUAGCAGAGAUGAUGGCGGCUCUAACCGGCUGCUCGCAAUCUCGGGGUGGUCUCGUUUUCGUCGUCUCGGCGUCGAAAGAGCCAUACUCGUAGGUUACACGCUAAGCCCCGAAAGAUGGUGAACUAUGCCUGACAAGGACGAAGUCUGGGGAAACCCUGAUGGAGGUCCGUAACGCUUCUGACGUGCAAAUCGAUCGGCAUAGUCGGGUAUAGGGGCGAAAGACCAAUCGAACCAUCUAGUAGCUGGUUCCUUUCGAAGUUUCCUUCAGGAUAGCUAGACGUGAUUAACAACAAAGAAGAGAGCACCUCGGUGUAUCUCGAAACCGUAGUCACAUGCGGUAAAGCGAAUGAUUAGAAGUAUUGGGGCCGAAACGGCUUCAACUUAUUCUCAAACUUUCAAUGUGUGUGCUCCGCGGGCUUUCGAGAAUCUCCGGUCGUCGUCGCUUCGCGGCUCGGCGGCCGGAACGAAGCCCCGGACAGAUAUAGCACGGUCUAAGUGGGCCAUUUUUGGUAAGCAGAACUGGCGAUGUGGGAUGAACCGAACGACAAGUUAAAGUGCCUAAGCCGACGCUUAUGAGAUACCAAAAAAGGCGUUAGUAACUAAAGACAGCAGGACGGUGGCCAUG
rnacentral:rRNA from 1 species